GUCACCUUGUAAUAACUGGGAACUCUUCCCCUGAAGACACCUGGUUAAUUCACUUGCAACCUGUUUCCAGAUUUGCCAGCAGGACAGCUCUUGAUUUGAAAGAGAUGGAGUCUCACUAUGUUGCCCAGGUUGGUCUGGAACUCUUCAGCUCAAGUGAUCCUCUCACUUCAGCCUCCCAUGUAGCCAGGAUUACAGGGUUUUGCAACUGCAGCACUACUAUUUUGGACUGGCCAAUUCUCUGUUGGGGGCACUGUCCUGUGCACUGUAGGAGAU
rnacentral:lncRNA from 10 species